CCCAGCCGCCCCCGCCGCUCUCAAAGCGCGUUGUGACGCUGAUUCUCGCAGCCGGAAGCCUCCUGCCCUGUUUCUGAGAGGGCCGCAUCGCUCUCUGUCACGGAGCGCCGGCCAGGAGCGCCUUUCCUUCCUGGGUUCCCAGAAGGGCCCAGGCCAGGGCUGGGGGGUAGACUUCCGACCCCGCUCGGCGGGUGGACGUGCUUCCUUGGCCGGUUCUGGCCCCGUGGUCUGCGCCCGGGUGCCUGGCUGUCCCUCGUCUUUGCCUGGAGCUGGUGGUUCCUUCUCUCCUCUGGCAGGGAAUAAGGGCUUAAGGAUUUGGGGUUCUGAAUAUUCAUUAGCUAGAAACCAGCCAGCUAUAAACCAUGACAAAGUCAUUUUGAAAAGAUGGUAAAGAAGGAAAAUAGAAAAUGAUGGCGGAGCUUGUGUUGUCUUCACCAACAAGUAACACGAAGUGUAGGCGGUUUCCACCUCAGUCCCAAACUGUUUCACCGCCGGGUCUGGAGAUCUGGCCGGGGGCGUUGUCCUGGCCAGGGUUCCCUGGCCCCGAAGCCGGGACUUUUUUUUUUUUUUAAGUCCUUAAGUGGAACUGAGAAGGAGCUGCGCUUGUCUCAGGGCAGGCUUGGCGGUGGGGAUGGGGCAGGCUGACUAGGGCCGGUAGCGUUUCCGCGGAGCAGCUUCCGGGGGAAUUUUGUCUAAACGUUUGAGGUCAAUGGGCCCAGGCGGUGGCUGGACGUCAGGGCGCUGGAAUGUUGAGGAGCCUCGGAUGCAUCACAGUGCUUUGAAUAGGCUACCAGGGCACUGUUUCCUCCCACAGACUGUAUCUUGAUGAAUUUGCCAGAAAUUGGGCCAAGACUCACAGAGAAGACCGAGGUCCAAUUUGGCGAGUUGGCUGUUAGUGGCUCUGCUUGGUGGUUUGGUUAAGAAGAUGGAGCCAAAACCCAGAGUGAGAAUGAGGUUCCUUUAGAGCCGCCAAAGGCAGACGUAAGGUUCAAGUUUCAGGGGACAGGCAGGAGGUUCCAGAGAGAAGAGACCAGCGUGGCCCCUCUCUUGCUUACUUAUUCCAGCCUCAGUUUGCUCAUCUCUAACGGAUAAGGAAAUCUCCUUCUCCAGCCAGCGAUGUAUGAAUGACCCAGUUUCUCCACAUCCUGGCCAACCGUUGAGUGUUCUCGCAUGAUUUGUUUCCUUAGGAAUUCCUUCUAUAGUACUUGGAGCUUUGUGGAUAAAGCACCAGUCAGAGCCGCCCUGUGGAAAUGGAGCAAAGAGUUGAAAUGUGAUUCCCAACCUGGAGUGGAUGCUCUUUUCACGCUCAGCUGGGUCUCUAACUCCUGAAAUAUUAAUCUGACAUAGGACAAGUACCAUCCAGGGAUGUGAAAAAUCCAGCCUGAGGCCCCAAACAGAGUGGGGCCUGCUCUCUGGGCAGAUCCAGAGCUCCUGAAGAUGAAAACCUCGUAAGCCAACUGUGGACUCGGUGCUUUGCUGCAAGAGGAUUCAUUUGAGCUAUAAUAAAAAGUAGUGUGUUUAUUUAACCCCUGUAAGCUGAUCUCCUUGGUCUUCAUGAACUGGCUGGGCAGCUAAGGACCCACAUUCCUUCCACAGUUAAUAAAACUUCAUAUUUUUCUCUGU
ensembl:lncRNA